CCUACGGGAGACAGCAGUGGGGAAUAUUGGGCAAUGGGCGAAAGCCUGACGCAGCAAUGCCGCGUGAAGGAAGAAGGCUUUCGGGUUGUACACUGCUUUGACAGGGGAAGAGCAGAAGACGGUACCCUGGAAACAAGCCACGGCUAACUACGUGCCAGCAGCCGCGGUAAUACGUUGGGGGCAAGCGUUGUCCGGAUUUACUGGGAGUAAAGGGUGAGUAAGCGGCAUGGUAAGCCAGUUGUGAAAGCCUUGGGCUUAAACCGAGGAUUGCAUUUGGAACUAUCAAGCUAGAGUUAAGGAGAGGAAAGCGGAAGUCCAAGUGUAGCGGUGAAAUGCGUAGAUAUUAGGAAGAACACCAGUGGCGAAGGCGGCUUUCUGGACUGAAACUGACGCUGAGGGACGAAAGCGUGGGGAGCGAACAGGAUUAGAUACCCCAGUAGUC
rnacentral:rRNA from 1 species